UCCUACGGGAGGCAGCAGUGGGGAAUAUUGCACAAUGGGCGCAAGCCUGAUGCAGCAACGCCGCGUGAGGGACGAAGGCCUUCGGGUUGUAAACCUCUUUUAGUAGGAAAGAAGCGACUGGGUUUUCCUGGGAGUGACGGUACCUGCAGAAAAAGCACCGGCUAACUACGUGCCAGCAGCCGCGGUAAUACGUAGGGUGCAAGCGUUGUCCGGAAUUAUUGGGCGUAAAGAGCUCGUAGGCGGUUUGUCGCGUCUGCUGUGAAAACCCGAGGCUCAACCUCGGGCCUGCAGUGGGUACGGGCAGACUAGAGUGCGGUAGGGGAGAUUGGAAUUCCUGGUGUAGCGGUGGAAUGCGCAGAUAUCAGGAGGAACACCAAUGGCGAAGGCAGAUCUCUGGGCCGUAACUGACGCUGAGGAGCGAAAGCAUGGGGAGCGAACAGGAUUAGAUACCCUGGUAGUCCAUGCCGUAAACGUUGGGAACUAGAUGUGGGGACCAUUCCACGGUCUCCGUGUCGCAGCUAACGCAUUAAGUUUCCCGCCUGGGGAGUACGGCCGCAAGGCUAAAACUCAAAGGAAUUGACGGGGGCCCGCACAAGCGGCGGAGCAUGCGGAUUAAUUCGAUGCAACGCGAAGAACCUUACCAAGGCUUGACAUAUACCGGAAACGGCUGGAAACAGGCGCCCCGCAAGGUCGGUAUACAGGUGGUGCAUGGUUGUCGUCAGCUCGUGUCGUGAGAUGUUGGGUUAAGUCCCGCAACGAGCGCAACCCUCGUCCUAUGUUGCCAGCACGUAAUGGUGGGAACUCAUGGGAUACUGCCGGGGUCAACUCGGAGGAAGGUGGGGAUGACGUCAAAUCAUCAUGCCCCUUAUGUCUUGGGCUUCACGCAUGCUACAAUGGCCGGUACAAAGGGCUGCGAUACCGCAAGGUGGAGCGAAUCCCAAAAAGCCGGUCUCAGUUCGGAUUGAGGUCUGCAACUCGACCUCAUGAAGUCGGAGUCGCUAGUAAUCGCAGAUCAGCAACGCUGCGGUGAAUACGUUCCCGGGCCUUGUACACACCGCC
rnacentral:rRNA from 1 species